rnacentral:rRNA from 1 species
AUUGAACGCUGGCGGCAGGCCUAACACAUGCAAGUCGAGCGGUAACAGGAGAAAGCUUGCUUUCUUGCUGACGAGCGGCGGACGGGUGAGUAAUGUAUGGGGAUCUGCCCGAUAGAGGGGGAUAACUACUGGAAACGGUGGCUAAUACCGCAUGACGUCUACGGACCAAAGCAGGGGCUCUUCGGACCUUGCGCUAUCGGAUGAACCCAUAUGGGAUUAGCUAGUAGGUGGGGUAAAGGCUCACCUAGGCGACGAUCUCUAGCUGGUCUGAGAGGAUGAUCAGCCACACUGGGACUGAGACACGGCCCAGACUCCUACGGGAGGCAGCAGUGGGGAAUAUUGCACAAUGGGCGCAAGCCUGAUGCAGCCAUGCCGCGUGUAUGAAGAAGGCCUUAGGGUUGUAAAGUACUUUCAGCGGGGAGGAAGGUGUUAAGAUUAAUACUCUAGCAAUUGACGUACCCGCNAAAGCC